rnacentral:rRNA from 1 species
UACGUAGGCAGCAAGCGUUGUUCGGAAUUACUGGGCGUAAAGAGUGUGUAGGCGGUGCUCUAAGUUCGGUGUGAAAUCUCCCGGCUCAACUGGGAGGGUGCGGCGGAAACUGGAGUGCUGGAGCGCGGGAGAGGAAAGCGGAAUUCCUGGUGUAGCGGUGAAAUGCGUAGAUAUCAGGAGGAACACCGGCGGUGUAGACGGCUUUCUGGACCGUAGCUGACGCUGAGACACGAAAGCGUGGGUAGCAAACAGG